GGUUAAGCGACCAAGCGUACACGGUGGAUGCCCUGGCAGUCAGAGGCGAUGAAGGACGUGCUAAUCUGCGAAAAGCGCCGGUAAGGUGAUAUGAACCGUUAUAACCGGCGAUGUCCGAAUGGGGAAACCCAGUGUGACUCGUCACACUAUCAUUAACUGAAUCCAUAGGUUAAUGAGGCGAACCGGGGGAACUGAAACAUCUAAGUACCCCGAGGAAAAGAAAUCAACCGAGAUUCCCCCAGUAGCGGCGAGCGAACGGGGAGGAGCCCAGAGCCUGAAUCAGCAUGUGUGUUAGUGGAAGCGUCUGGAAAGGCGCGCGAUACAGGGUGACAGCCCCGUACACAAAAGCGCAUGUGCUGUGAGCU
rnacentral:rRNA from 1 species